CAAAUUUUGAUCUGAAAUCAGGUAGGGCUACCCGCUGAACUUAAGCAUAUCAAUAAGCGGAGGAAAAGAAACUAACAAGGAUUCCCCUAGUAACGGCGAGUGAAGCGGGAAGAGCUCAAAUUUAAAAUCUGGUUUGCUUUGCAAAUCCGAGUUGUAGUCUGAAGAAACGUUUUCCAUGAAAGCUGAGGCACAAGUCCUUUGGAACAGGGCAUCAUAGAGGGUGAGAAUCCCGUCCAUGGUCUCAAGCCUUUCAUUUUGUGAUACGUUUUCUAAGAGUCAGGUUGUUUGGGAAUGCAGCCUAAAAUGGGUGGUAAAUUUCAUCUAAAGCUAAAUAUUGGCGAGAGACCGAUAGCGAACAAGUACCGUGAGGGAAAGAUGAAAAGAACUUUGAAAAGAGAGUUAAAAAGUACGUGAAAUUGUUGAAAGGGAACCGUUUGAAGCCAGUCUUGCUUGCUUGUGAUCAAUCUUUGCUUCGGCUUGGAUGCACUCUCAGGUUAUGCAGGUCAACGUCAGUUUGAGAGGUGGGAAAAAAGCUUGAGGAAUGUGGCCUUCGGGUGUUAUAGCCUCUUGCUAAAUACCAUCUUUUGGACUGAGGCUCGCAGCAAAAAUGUGGGCAGGUUUGCGUUUGAGGUGAUACAUUAUUAAGACAGCUUGCUGACUUAGUUUUGUCUAUCUUCACUGUAAGCUUCGCUUCUAAUUUGCUUAGGUCGUUGACAUAAUGGCUUUAAAUGACCCGUCUUGAAACACGGACCAAGGAGUCUAACAUAUAUGCGAGUAUUUGGGUGGCAAACCCACAUGCGCAAUGAAAGUGAAAUUAGGUGCCAAACUCUCACGAGUGGCAGCAUCGGCCGGCUCUGACGUUUCUAACUGACGAGUCUGAGCAGAAGCAUACAUGUUGGGACCCGAAAGAUGGUGAACUAUGCCUGAAUAGGGUGAAGCCAGAGGAAACUCUGGUGGAGGCUCGUAGCGAUUCUGACGUGCAAAUCGAUCGUCAAAUUUGGGUAUAGGGGCGAAAGACUAAUCGAACC
rnacentral:rRNA from 2 species